AGUUAAUAGUAUCAUAGCAAUGUUAUUUAUUUUUUUUAGUUUUGUUAAAUGUAUUAUAGUUAAAUAACAUGUAAACCUUAGGGGAAGUUAAGAAAAGGACAUGUGGAAAUUCUGUGAAGUCUCUGGAAUUCUUCCUUAAAUCUAAAAUUAUUUCAAAAUAUAUUUUUAAAUAAAGCAUGGAGGAGAAUAAACUCUGCAAAGUAUGGAGGAGAGCAGUAGGGUUCUUUGUUUUCAUAGGGAGGUCAGAGAAGUUCUGACACCAUUGUCAUAUUGUAUCUCCAGCAAAGAGGAAGCCAAGCCUGGGCCAUGUCUACAAAACCCUGAUGACAGAGUGAACAGCAGAUAGAGGGAAACUGAGGCAAGAUGCUGGCAUGUUCAGGGAAAAGAAUAACAGCAAAACCAUCAAGGCAGUCUCAGUAGGAAGAAGGACCUCGACCAAAGAGUGAGCACUGGAGGUUUUGGAGGUUUGCAGGAAGAAAAGCUGUGAAAUAUUAAAAAAAAAAUACCGUGGGAGCAUCACCAGACUAGAGAACAUGUUAGAAUUUGGGGGCAACACUGAAUACCUUCAUGAAGUUACUGGUCAUGAGUCAAAGUGAGACCAAAGCUUAGAUACCCUAGCAGAAAUCUUGUCUGGAUGAGAUGCUGGCGGUUGAUCAUUAGAUUCAUCACCUAGCCCAGGGCUGUUGGUUGAUGCCUGAGACCCAUGGAGGAAGGGACAAAGAAUCAUAUGUAAAAAAGCAAAAGAAAACACUGCACCACUAAAAGCUUUGAAAUGUUAACACUACUUUUAAAGCACGUAAACAAAAGAUGAGAAGAUGACCGUCUCUCCCCAUCCCACUGCUCGUCAUGGAGCACCUCAAAGAAUCUCCUGCUUUGGCACUGGUGGAAUUUUCAGCCUUACCAGGUGAAAGUGGUGGUGACCUGAGGAGGAUUAUGGGACCUGUGAGUGUGCACAAGCAGGAGGACACUGCUGGACCCACGAAGAGGAAAAGGAUCAAGAUGUGAACACCAUGUGGUGACUGACUAGAACGUCUCACCACGAAGGUCCCUCUGAGAGUUCCCAGAAGGACCUGAAUGUAGACUCUGUCGAUAAAAGAUUCAUGAAGGUUUGCUGUGGGAGGAGGAAUUCUAAACACAAACCUUGCUCUGGCUGGUACAGAAGGGAAAGUCAAAAAGAUUUAAAGCACAAGUGGACCUGACACAUCACUGCUUGCUUGAAGACAGAAGAAAACCCAUGAGAUGGAGUGCAGAUAGUUAUAAGAUGCCAAGAUUGGACCUUGGCUAACACCCAGCAAAGAAAUAGACCCCAUCCCUAAAACUGUGAGGAACUGAAUUCUAGCAACCUGAAUGAGCUUGGAUGCAGACUUCUCCAUAGAGCCUGCAGACAAAAAACCCACCUGGAUAACAGUUUGAUUUCAGUCUUCUGAUACCCUGAGCAGAGAAUCCACCCAAACUGGGAGCUCUUUGUUAAUAAAUGAGUGUUGUUUUAAGCCCCUAAA